AUUUAUAUAAUUUAUAAUAGAAUAUCGCAUUGAAGCUGCGAAAGAGGUAAAAUACCUAUAAAUA
rnacentral:tRNA from 1 species